rnacentral:tRNA from 1 species
GGCGUCGUAGCUUAACUGGAAGAGCGUGCACUAUAUAAAAGCUCAGGCGGCCUGCAUGCGUGGGUUCGAAUCCCACCGAGGCCG